GAAGCCCUUCUCCGGUGUUGUGAGUGGUGCCAGAAGGGCUGCUGAAGCUCGGGGGCCGGGGAGGCAGUUUCUCUGCUCCAGACUGAGCUGAUGUAAGCAGCCUGCUCCCGGUUGAUCGACUUCUUCCACUUCUGCUCACGAACCUUGAUGUCCCUUCCUGCAUCCUGCGGAACCCCGCUCAUCCCUGCGGCUGGCCUCGCGGGGUCGGCACACCGAGGGGGAUCACAAAAGAGGAGGAGGCUGGGACGGCCUGGAUGAGGGGCAGGCAGGUUCGAUGAGAUGCCCAAGCCCUGUUGGUGAUGACUGUGCAGACCAAUGAUGGAGGAACAGAAGGACCC
ensembl:lncRNA